GAAUAUUGGUCAAUGGACGAGAGUCUGAACCAGCCAAGUAGCGUGAAGGAUGACUGCCCUAUGGGUUGUAAACUUCUUUUAUAUGGGAAUAAAGUAUUCCACGUGUGGAAUUUUGUAUGUACCAUAUGAAUAAGGAUCGGCUAACUCCGUGCCAGCAGCCGCGGUAAUACGGAGGAUCCGAGCGUUAUCCGGAUUUAUUGGGUUUAAAGGGAGCGUAGGUGGAUUGUUAAGUCAGUUGUGAAAGUUUGCGGCUCAACCGUAAAAUUGCAGUUGAUACUGGUUUCCUUGAGUGCAGUUGAGGCAGGCGGAAUUCGUGGUGUAGCGGUGAAAUGCUUAGGUAUCACGAAGAACCCCGAUUGCGAAGGCAGCUUGCUAAACUGUAACUGACGUUCAUGCUCGAAAGUGUGGGUAUCAAACAGGAUUAGAUACCCUGGUAGUCCACACGGUAAACGAUGGAUACUCGCUGUUGGCGAUAUACUGUCAGCGGCCAAGCGAAAGCAUUAAGUAUCCCACCUGGGGAGUACGCCGGCAACGGUGAAACUCAAAGGAAUUGACGGGGGCCCGCACAAGCGGAGGAACAUGUGGUUUAAUUCGAUGAUACGCGAGGAACCUUACCCGGGCUUAAAUUGCAGACGAAUUACGAGGAAACUUGUAAGCCGCAAGGCGUCUGUGAAGGUGCUGCAUGGUUGUCGUCAGCUCGUGCCGUGAGGUGUCGGCUUAAGUGCCAUAACGAGCGCAACCCUCGUGGUCAGUUACUAACAGGUUAAGCUGAGGACUCUGGCCAGACUGCCAUCGUAAGAUGUGAGGAAGGUGGGGAGGACGUCAAAUCAGCACGGCCCUUACGUCCGGGGCUACACACGUGUUACAAUGGGAGGUACAGAAGGCAGCUACCCGGCGACGGGAUGCCAAUCCCCAAAACCUCUCUCAGUUCGGACUGGAGUCUGCAACCCGACUCCACGAAGCUGGAUUCGCUAGUAAUCGCGCAUCAGCCACGGCGCGGUGAAUACGUUCCCG
rnacentral:rRNA from 1 species